CUAUCAUGCAGUCGGACGGGAUCCAUCGGAGAGCUUGCUCGAAGAUGGUGAGAGUGGCGCACGGGUGCGUAACGCGUGAGCAACCUACCUCUAUCAGGGGGAUAGCCUCUCGAAAGAGAGAUUAACACCGCAUAACAUAAUUCUCCGGCAUCGGAGUAUUAUUAAAUAUUUAUAGGAUAGAGAUGGGCUCGCGUGACAUUAGCUAGUUGGUAGGGUAACGGCUUACCAAGGCGACGAUGUCUAGGGGCUCUGAGAGGAGAAUCCCCCACACUGGUACUGAGACACGGACCAGACUCCUACGGGAGGCAGCAGUAAGGAAUAUUGGUCAAUGGGCGGAAGCCUGAACCAGCCAUGCCGCGUGCAGGAUGACUGCCCUAUGGGUUGUAAACUGCUUUUGUCCAGGAAUAAACCUAAAUACGUGUAUUUAGCUGAAUGUACUGGAAGAAUAAGGAUCGGCUAACUCCGUGCCAGCAGCCGCGGUAAU
rnacentral:rRNA from 1 species